rnacentral:rRNA from 1 species
UGGGGGAUAUUGCACAAUGGGCGAAAGCCUGAUGCAGCGACGCCGCGUGGGGGAUGAAGGCUUUCGGGUUGUAAACCUCUUUCGCUAUCGAACAAGGCCCGCUUAGGGUGGGUUGAGGGUAGGUGGAGAAGAAGCGCCGGCUAACUACGUUCCAGCAGCCGCGGUAAUACGUAGGGCGCGAGCGUUGUCCGGAAUUAUUGGGCGUAAAGGGCUUGUAGGCGGCUUGUUGCGCCUGCUGUGAAAACGCGGGGCUUAACUUCGCGCGUGCAGUGGGUACGGGCAGGCUUGAGUGUGGUAGGGGUGACUGGAAUUCCAGGUGUAGCGGUGGAAUGCGCAGAUAUCUGAGGAACACCGAUGGCGAAGGCAGGUCACUGGGCCAGUACUGACGCUGAGGAGCGAAAGCAUGGGUAGCGAACAGG